rnacentral:rRNA from 1 species
CCCCAGACUCCUACGGGAGGCAGCAGUGAGGAAUAUUGGUCAAUGGCCGGGAGGCUGAACCAGCCAAGUCGCGUGAGGGAAGACGGCCCUACGGGUUGUAAACCUCUUUUGUCAGGGAGCAAGGUGCAGGUCGGGACCUGCUGUGAGAGUACCUGAAGAAAAAGCAUCGGCUAACUCCGUGCCAGCAGCCGCGGUAAUACGGAGGAUGCGAGCGUUAUCCGGAUUUAUUGGGUUUAAAGGGUGCGCAGGCGGAGGCACAAGUCAGCGGUAAAAAUGCGGUGCUCAACGCCGUCGAGCCGUUGAAACUGGCGUUCUUGAGUGGGCGAGAAGUAUGCGGAAUGCGUGGUGUAGCGGUGAAAUGCAUAGAUAUCACGCAGAACUCCGAUUGCGAAGGCAGCAUACCGGCGCCCUACUGACGCUGAGGCACGAAAGCGUGGGUAUCGAACAGGAUUAGAUACCCCUGUAUC